rnacentral:lncRNA from 1 species
CUGCACACGGGUGGGCUGUGAUUCCUCUCAAAGCCCCAAGGAGGCCACGUUUCCAGCUAAAUGUUGCCCACAGAAAGGACUCUUGCUUUUGUUCCCAGUGGGGAACACUGGAAUUUCCUCACCUGCAUAAAGCCAACAGGCCAGCCGGUCCUGUUGUUUGGAUCUGACUGCGGCCAAUGUCAUGUGCUUCAGGGGAAGGUGGAAAACCUACAUGAUUCAUCGAACUGUGAAAAAGCAGCUGCUGCAGCGAGUCAGUCCUGAUCCCCUCUGAGGAUCAGUUUACACCUUGAAGCAUGAGAAUUGAUUUCUUUUAUGGUUUUAUCUUAGUUAGUGUCACUAGACCCAACUGCCCCUGCCCCACUAUCCCUGCAGCAAAUUGCUGGCAUGGAGCGAGGAGUUAAAAGGAGGAGACAUAGCCUAAUGCAGGGAUGACCCAGAAGUAGUGCAGAGCUCUGCUUCUCCUGCUGUGAGAGAAGGCUGCUUACAGCCCAGAGACUGGGGUAGCUUGCUGGGUGAAUAAGGGAUGAAUCGACCCUUAGGAGAAUGGCUGGAAUACUGGUUAUUGGAAAACAAGCCUUAAACAGAAGGGUGGGGUCCUGCUCAAGGUUUGCUGCAUUUCCCUGUUUUGAGUUGUGUUUUGUCCUGAUUUCUUUGAACCUUAAUACCCUGGAAAGGACUGAAGUGUGCCUCGGCUGGAGGGUUAAUGCACUCCUACGUCGGNUACCCUGGAAAGGACUGAAGUGUGCCUCGGCUGGAGGGUUAAUGCACUGCUACGUCGGACUCUGUGACAGACAGUGACCUACCAGCGGAAACCUGUGGCUGGACAAAGACAACUGCAAGCAGCACCCAUACUCCAGAACUCGCUGAGCAAAGGGCCCAAGAACAACCUGAUGUGCCUCCUUGAACCUUGCAAGCUCGAUAUGUGAGGGAAAGGAGCUGUGUCCCCCAUCUGGCAUUUUUUACAGGGGAACCCUACCAGUACCUCCACCACUGUCCAUGGACACCUGCAAGGGAGGAGUCUCACACAACAUGGAGGAGGAUUUUGUGGAUGAGGAAGAGGAGGAGGAUGAUGCCCAGCAGGCAAGUGGAGAAUCCNCUCACACAACAUGGAGGAGGAUUUUGUGGAUGAGGAAGAGGAGGAGGACGAUGCCCAGCAGGCAAGUGGAGAAUCCAUUCUCCCCGGUAGCCAGGACCCUUUCAUCACCCUCCCAAGGUGGGUUUCCAGACCCUGAAGGUGGAGAAGACACCUUUGGAGCAAAUGUUCCUAUGCUCCCUGUAUCAUCUCUAUCCCUGAGGUUAUUGCUGAUUAGAAGGCGAAAAACACACUCAUGAUGACAUGUUUUCAGAGUUCAUGCAGUCCUCCCGCACUGAUAGGGCACAGCUGAAUGCAUGGAGGUAUUCAGUAAGUGUGAUCAGAACAUGCAGGAGGAGAUGCUGAGGCUAAUGGAGGAGCAAACAGACAUGAUCAGGAAUAUGGUGGAGCUGCAGGAAAGGCAACAAGAGCACAGACAGCUGCUGCAUCCAUUGUAUAACGGCCUGCCCUCGUCCCCAAGUUCCAUAUUCUCCUCACCCAGGUGCUCAAGAAUGUUGGGGUGGGGGAGGCUCUGGGCACCCAGCCUCUCCACUCCAGAGGAUGGCCCAUUCAACCAGUUUUGAUUUGUAGUGUGGCUACAUUAAGCAAUGUGGCCUUGCCUUCCCUCCUCCCCCGCCCCACCUGGGCUACCUUGUCAGUGAUCUCACUUUUUUAAAAAUAAAGACUGCAUGGAUUCAAAACA